rnacentral:rRNA from 1 species
GAUGAACGCUGGCGGCGUGCCUAAUACAUGCAAGUCGAGCGAACAGACGAGGAGCUUGCUCCUCUGACGUUAGCGGCGGACGGGUGAGUAACACGUGGAUAACCUACCUAUAAGACUGGGAUAACUUCGGGAAACCGGAGCUAAUACCGGAUAAUAUAUUGAACCGCAUGGUUCAAUAGUGAAAGACGGUUUUGCUGUCACUUAUAGAUGGAUCCGCGCAGCAUUAGCUAGUUGGUAAGGUAACGGCUUACCAAGGCGACGAUGCGUAGCCGACCUGAGAGGGUGAUCGGCCACACUGGAACUGAGACACGGUCCAGACUCCUACGGGAGGCAGCAGUAGGGAAUCUUCCGCAAUGGGCGAGAGCCUGACGGAGCAACGCCGCGUGAGUGAUGAAGGUCUUCGGAUCGUAAAACUCUGUUAUUAGGGAAGAACAAAUGUGUAAGUAACUAUGCACGUCUUGACGGUACCUAAUCAGAAAGCCACGGCUAACUACGUG